GUUGUAUGGUUAAGUGACUAAGCGUACACGGUGGAUGCCUUGGCAGUUGGAGGCGAUGAAGGACGUACUAACUUGCGAUAAGCCUAGUUGAGCCAGUAAGAGGCGCUUGAGACUAGGAUUUCCGAAUGGGGAAACCCGGCCCUUUGGGUCAUCAUGCAGUGAAUACAUAGCUGUAUGAAGCGAACGCGGAGAACUGAAACAUCUAAGUACCCGUAGGAAAAGAAAUCAACCGAGAUUCCGAAAGUAGCGGCGAGCGAAAUCGGAUUAGCCCUUAAGCUUUAAUGUAGUUAGUGGAACAUUCUGGAAAGUAUGACGAUACAGGGUGACAGUCCCGUACACGACAACUUAUUUAAAGUGAAAUCGAGUAGGUCGGAGCACGUGAAACUUUGACUGAAUAUGGGGGGACCAUCCUCCAAGGCUAAAUACUCCCAACUGACCGAUAGUGAACCAGUACCGUGAGGGAAAGGCGAAAAGAACCCCUGUGAGGGGAGUGAAAUAGAACCUGAAACCGUGUACGUACAAGCAGUAGGAGCCCCUCGAGGGUGACUGCGUACCUUUUGUAUAAUGGGUCAGCGACUUAUAUUCUGUAGCAAGGUUAACCAUUUAGGGGAGCCGUAGCGAAAGCGAGUCUUAACUGGGCGCUUAAGUUGCAGGGUAUAGACCCGAAACCCGGUGAUCUAGCCAUGGGCAGGUUGAAGGUCAGGUAACACUGACUGGAGGACCGAACCCACUAACGUUGAAAAGUUAGGGGAUGACCUGUGGCUAGGAGUGAAAGGCUAAUCAAACCGGGAGAUAGCUGGUUCUCCCCGAAAUCUAUUUAGGUAGAGCCUCGGACGAAUACUUACGGGGGUAGAGCACUGUUAAGGCUAGGGGGUCAUCCCGACUUACCAACCCUUUGCAAACUCCGAAUACCGUAAAGUACUAUCCGGGAGACACACGGUGGGUGCUAACGUCCAUCGUGGAGAGGGAAACAACCCAGACCGUCAGCUAAGGUCCCAAAGUGUAUGUUAAGUGGGAAACGAUGUGGGAAGGCUAAAACAGCUAGGAGGUUGGCUUAGAAGCAGCCAUCCUUUAAAGAAAGCGUAAUAGCUCACUAGUCGAGUCGGCCUGCGCGGAAGAUGUAACGGGGCUAAACAUACCACCGAAGCUACGGCUGCAUACUUAGUAUGCGGGGUAGGGGAGCGUUCUGUAAGCGGCUGAAGGUGAACUGUAAGGUUUGCUGGACGUAUCAGAAGUGCGAAUGCUGACAUGAGUAACGAUAAUGCGGGUGAAAAACCCGCACGCCGGAAGACCAAGGGUUCCUAUCCCAUGUUAAUCAGGGUAGGGUGAGUCGACCCCUAAGGCGAGGCUGAAGAGCGUAGUCGAUGGGAAACGGGUUAAUAUUCCCGUACUUGGUAUAAAUGCGAUGGGGGGACGGAGCAGGCUAGGCAAGCAUGGCGUUGGUUGUCCAUGUGAAAGGCUGUAGGCUGGUGACUUAGGAAAAUCCGGGUCGCUAAGGCUGAGAGUCGAGACGAGCCACUACGGUGGUGAAGUUGUUGAUGCCCUACUUCCAGGAAAAGCCUCUAAGCUUCAGUUUAUAUCGAAUCGUACCCUAAACCGACACAGGUGGUCAGGUAGAGAAUACUAAGGCGCUUGAGAGAACUCGGGUGAAGGAACUAGGCAAAAUUGUACCGUAACUUCGGGAGAAGGUACGCUCUUACUUGUGAAGACUUCGCGUCGUAAGCAGGCGAGAGCCGCAGUGACCAGGUGGCUGGGACUGUUUAUUAAAAACACAGCACUGUGCAAAAUCGUAAGAUGACGUAUACGGUGUGACACCUGCCCGGUGCCGGAAGGUUAAUUGAUGGGGUUAGCUUAGGCGAAGCUCUUGAUCGAAGCCCCGGUAAACGGCGGCCGUAACUAUAACGGUCCUAAGGUAGCGAAAUUCCUUGUCGGGUAAGUUCCGACCUGCACGAAUGGUGUAACCAUGGCCACGCUGUCUCCACCCGAGACUCAGUGAAAUUGAAAUCGCAGUGAAGAUGCUGUGUACCCGCGGCUAGACGGAAAGACCCCGUGAACCUUUACUACAGCUUGGCACUGAACAUUGACCCUACAUGUGUAGGAUAGGUGGGAGGCUUUGAAGCGCAGUCGCUAGAUUGCGUGGAGCCGUCCUUGAAAUACCACCCUUGUAGUGUUGAUGUUCUAACUUAGGUCCCUAAUCGGGAUUGAGGACAGUGCCUGGUGGGUAGUUUGACUGGGGCGGUCUCCUCCCAAAGAGUAACGGAGGAGCACGAAGGUUGGCUAAGUACGGUCGGACAUCGUACGGUUAGUGUAAUGGUAGAAGCCAGCUUAACUGCGAGACAGACACGUCGAGCAGGUACGAAAGUAGGUCAUAGUGAUCCGGUGGUUCUGAAUGGAAGGGCCAUCGCUCAACGGAUAAAAGGUACUCCGGGGAUAACAGGCUGAUACCGCCCAAGAGUUCAUAUCGACGGCGGUGUUUGGCACCUCGAUGUCGGCUCAUCACAUCCUGGGGCUGAAGUCGGUCCCAAGGGUAUGGCUGUUCGCCAUUUAAAGUGGUACGCGAGCUGGGUUUAGAACGUCGUGAGACAGUUCGGUCCCUAUCUGCCGUGGGCGUUUGAGAAUUGAGAGGGGCUGCUCCUAGUACGAGAGGACCGGAGUGGACGAACCGCUGGUGUUCGGGUUGUCAUGCCAAUGGCAUUGCCCGGUAGCUACGUUCGGAAUCGAUAACCGCUGAAAGCAUCUAAGCGGGAAGCGAGCCUCGAGAUGAGUUCUCACUUUAACUAUAAGUUAACUGAAGGGCCGUUGAAGACUACAACGUUGAUAGGCGAGAUGUGGAAGUGGUGUGAGCCAUUGAGCUAACUCGUACUAAUUACCCGUGAGGCUUAACCAUACAACGCCAAAGUGGUUU
rnacentral:rRNA from 1 species